rnacentral:lncRNA from 1 species
GGAGGGAAGGCAGCUGCGGCCCGCGCCGUUUCUCUCCGCCAGAGGGACCCUCGGGAGGCGCCGCACCGGCGCCGCCCACCUCGGCGGGAUCAUGGAGCGGCUGGUGGUCGAGGAAGAAGAAGGAGAGGAGGAGGAGGAAGCAGAUUUGAAUGGAGAGCCCUACUGGUAUAGUGUGAUUAACUAUGCUAGGUAUGAGACCUUGGAAGACAUCAUUGAGGAAGCAGAAGAAGACAGCGACAACGACGAAGUUCAGAAUGGUCCUUACACCACAUUCUCUGGUUUUCAGAGGGCCUUUCUUUCUCCACCUUCUGUCCCUCUCCCUCCCCAAAGCAGCAAUUUGGACCUUGCUCUUUUGGGCUCGGCCUUGCCCCAGAAACCACAACUUACAGCUGAGGAGGCUGAGCGGAAUGCAAAAUUGCUGGUCGCUGAGGAGGAACGCCUCAAGAAGAAAGCUGAGAAGAAAAGGAUGAAGAAGAAGAGACAGAAGGACCGGAAGAGGCAGGAGAAGCGGAACCUGGAGCUAAAGGCCAAGAGUGAGGCAAAUAAACCUUCAGCCGGACAAGAUGAGGGAACUUUGACCUUGAGUGAUGGUCUCCCUGAC